AACUUGUGUUUAGCUUCUUCAGGAACGUUGGAUGAAGGAGCUAUCGCUGGGAUUGUACUUGCUGUCUUUGGCUUCAUCGCCUCUCCCUUCAUCUUGUACAUAUUCUGUAAUCCCUUUCGCAAACACAUUCGUAACAAAUGUGAAAACAAUUCACGUUUAAAGGGAUCUAUUGGUUGUCUUGAAAGUUUCCGAAACACAAUACGAUGUCUAGGGGAUGACAACGACAAGCAAAGUAAUACAGGGGACGACAAUGAUCGGCAAAGUAAUAAAGACAGCAAGCUUAUGGGUCCUAAUGAAUGAUGACAUGUAAGAAAACAAGAGCCUUAAUUCUUCGAAAUGUUGAUCUAUUCUCAUCAGAUCUUCAAAUUGAAGACUCGUUUUAUUAGGCUAAUAAACAUCCACAUGGAAAAUCCUGAAUUCAUGGACUUUAUAAAAUGAUUGGCAUGUCUUCAAAAUCGAUGUUUUAAUUUGCUGGCUGUGUUUGCACUAUAGAAAAUCCUGUUUUAAAUUCAAACCUGACUGUUAAUUGCAAGUGGAUCGGUAUGUUUAGGUAACAUUAUAUCUGCUUUUAUGGAACAAAGGUCUUUUGAGUAAAAGAGUUGAAGUCAGAUGUUAUCCUGUGUAGGCUGGAGGCAUGAUAGUGUUCAUAAUGCAGGAUUGAUUGUAUUAUUCCAGGGAUUUUCUGCAUGUGUCGAGUACAGUCAGCAAAGUCUGCUUUAAUAUUAUAUGUAAUAGCUGUUCACUCUAAACUGGCAAUCAUUUAAUUAUUUAACAACUGAUAUGCAGCAUUAUAGCAUUUUUUUUAAUGAAGCACUGGCUUUUGUAUGAAUUUUCUGAAUAAACUCCUCAAAAAAUUUUUAUAUUUAUUUUGAGUUUCAGAAUCAUAGGACACACUUACAUUCCAACCAAACCGCACCCAUUUGCGCUCCCAUUUGACCCUGAAAGCCUAGUUCGUUUGACUAGUGUGAUCGCACUGUACCGUCCCCAGGUGCAGGUUGGUUAUUUACGUCCUGGUCGACUUGUAGAGGUGGACUCGAGUGCAGUUCACCUGUGCUCAUUGUGAUCACAAAUCGCACCAGAGCGCGGAUUUAAAGGGGAGACGUCAAUUGCACGACCACCCAACUUUAUCCGCCUUCAUAAAAACUCUUUAAUGCACACAGCAGGGUUACGUGAAUGUGUGAGGAGCACACAUGACAGGAUAACUAACCAAUAUGAUCGGCAUGAGAGAGGGCUGUGUGUCAACGCUCACUAAACGACUCGGAGAAUAUAAAACAGACUUGACAUUCCAAUGAGCUCUAAUGUUAAGAGAGCGCUUUAUUUCCUGUUUUCAAUACAAUCACAUCCUAAUGAUGAAAGCAUGCCCAGAUCGGUCAAAGUACAGUGUGAGUGCAUGCUUAUGGGGGAGUAUGGAGGGAGACAAUCGCGCCAGGCACGGUUUGGUUUGGUUUGGUUGGUUGUUAUAUCAGUGUGCCCUAAUGGUAUAGCAUCCAAGUUUCAUGGACCGUGUAAACACAGAGAGAUCACUCUCACAGUUGGUCCUCUAAAUAAUCAAACAUAUAAAAAUAUGCUGUAGUAUUUUUAAAAUGUCUUCCUUCAAAUCAGAAAGAUUAAGUUGCCCUCAGUUCCUCUUUUUUAGGACCUCAUCUGCUCUGAGCCAACUGUGUAACACCUUCUUAUGCAUUUCUUGGACUUUCCACUGUUUGGGUGUGGUGUUUCUUGACUCAUCUCACUUUUAGUUUGUUGUUUUAAGAGAUCUAUAGUCACAUUUGUAGUUUGUAUUACUCUAUUAUUUUUUUCAUUCUUCAUUAAAACAGCACUGUCUAUUUAUGUUAGUAUCUUUAAAAUGAUAGAGUGUUUCUCUUUCUUUUUCGCUUAACUUUUUAUUAUUUAAAAGUUAAUGUGAAAUUCUGCUCAAUGCUUUUUUCUACUAGAUUUGAAACAUUGGUUUUUAAAGAAAGAAUGAUGUUAAUCAGAUAUCAGGUGACUGACUUUAAAAGGUCUGCUAUAUAGAGAGCACCAUUAAAUGAUAAUGCAGAGUUUAGAGUAUGACAAAAAUGAUCCAUGUUAUAAACCUUUCUAUGCUUUUAAAGAUUUUGUGUUGUGUGUUUUCUGGGAUUUGAAUGUUCAUAGAAUGUCAUAUCAGGUUCUCAUGAUUAUUUCUUGCAUGUUGCUGACUUUAUUUUUAUUUUUUUCUGCGAAAAGAGGAACAUCACUUGAACACUAACUAACUGACUUACAGUAAUGGGGCGGUCACACUAGACUUUAAUGAGAAGCAAAAAAAAGUGCAUGCUCAGAGAAAGGUCACACAGUGAUGUAACUCUGUUCUUUUAUAUCACGUCUACACGUAUACAUUUGCGCAAGUGUGCAUUUCCGGUGCAUAUUAAUGGAAGUCAGUGGGGAAAAAAUGUCGUGUGACUGUGGUGGGGGACUUUUGAGGGCUUUUUUUACACUGAGCUUAACCCACGCUUUUAUUUUUAAGUCUGUGUUUAGAAUAUUUUAACCCUUUUAACAUUUCAAAUUUUUAGAUGGUUUGAGUGGGGAGUUGUAAGUCUUUGUUUUGUAACCCAGCUUGGCAUUCUUGGCAAAGUUUUUUAAGUGUUAACCCCAGACUGUGUUACCAAAGUAAAAUUGUGAGAAGCCAUACAGCUUUACAGUGUUACAGUAGGCUUGCAACAGACAACCAAUCAUAACUCAGUGCUUACCUUAUUAAAUAAUUGUAGGUUUUGUUCAUUGCAGAAACUUCUGGUUUGUAUUUUUCUUUUAUUAGGAAAAUUAAUGAAAAGAUAAUCCUGGGGUGGUUUUGCUUAGGUUUUAGAGUAAUAAUGUAAAUUGUCACAAACAGUUAUAGGUCAGCAGUGGAUGAUUUUGCUUUUUUAUAUGUAUUCAUGGGUUUUCUUUAUUGCACAUGAACUUAAAGGUGGUGUGUGUAAACUUUAGUGACAUCUAUUGGUGAGAUUGUGAAUUGAAACCAAUAGCUCACCCCUCAAUUUCAAAACACAUGGUAGCUGUCACAGGACAAACAUGGCAUCGUCUGAGACAGUGUAGGGACGAAACACGCUCUAUAGAGAAGUUUGUCAGUUAAGGGGCUACUGUAGAAACAUGAUGGCGACUUCCAUGUAAGACUUCCAGGUUAGAUAAAAACUGCUAAUUUUAAGGAAAUAAAACCAAUACAGUUCAUUAUUUAAGGUCUUUAUACAAAACUGAUAAUAUAGUAGAUCCUUCUAAAGGUUACACAAUGCACCUUUAAGUUGUAUGUGUUUAUUUGUUGUAUGGCCACAUUUACCGUUGCAUUUAUAUUUUGCAGUUGAAAUGUACAAAUAUCAUUAUUGACCAAUAGAUGCUUGGUUUGUCAUUGACCUUUUGUGUGGGUGGAGCUUUGUUUGUAUGUAAAGUAUUUUAAAGACUGAACUUUUUUGUGCAAAGUUUUGCACUGUAAUUGUAAAUGUGGCAAUGCAUUUAGUUAUUUUAUAUUUAAACAGUAGCUUUUUUGCCAAUGUCUAAUUGCUCUGAAAUAUCAUAUUGUCUGUAAAAAAAUACUUUGAUUUUUGCCAUUAAAUAUGAUAAUGCUACUAGUAA